GGUGACGUGCGUGCAUGCAGCGUCGGUAAGGCUUGUGUGGCGAGCGUUGUCCUGGUUUAUUGGGCGCAAAGCGAGGCCAGGCGGGUCCUGAAGUCUGAUGGGAAAGCCCCCGGCGCAGCCGGGGAGGGUCAUUGGAAACUGGGGAACUUGAGUGCAGAAGAGGAGAGUGGAAUUCCAUGUGUAGCGGUGAAAUGCGUAGAUAUAUGGAGGAACACCAGUGGCGAAGGCGACUCUCUGGUCUGUAACUGACGCUGAGGCUCGAAAGCGUGGGUAGCAAACAGGAUUAGAUCCCCUGUAGUC
rnacentral:rRNA from 1 species